rnacentral:lncRNA from 1 species
GCACUGGGGGCCGGAUGUAGAAUCCUGCUUAUCUGUGAAAUGCAGUUAACACAUCAGCUGGACCUAUUUCCCGAAUGCAGGGUAACCCUUCUGUUAUUUAAAGAUGUAAAAAAUGCGGGAGACUUGAGAAGAAAGGCCAUGGAAGGCACCAUCGAUGGAUCACUGAUAAAUCCUACAGUGUUUCACUCUUGUUGCCCAGGCUGGAGUGCAAUGGCGCGAUCUUGGCUCACGGCAACCUCUGCCUCCCGGGUUCAAGCAAUUGUCCUGCCUCAGCCUCCUGAGUUGCUGGGAUUACAGAUUGUUGAUCCAUUUCAGAUACUUGUGGCAGCAAACAAAGCAGUUCACCUCUACAAACUGGGAAAAAUGAAGACAAGAACUCUAUCUACUGAAAUUAUUUUCAACCUUUCCCCAAAUAACAAUAUUUCAGAGGCUUUGAAAAAAUUUGGUAUCUCAGCAAAUGACACUUCAAUUCUAAUUGUUUACAUUGAAGAGGGAGAAAAACAAAUAAAUCAAGAAUACCUAAUAUCUCAAGUAGAAGGUCAUCAGGUUUCUCUGAAAAAUCUUCCUGAAAUAAUGAAUAUUACAGAAGUCAAAAAGGUUUGCCAGUCCAUAUUUUUAGAAAGAGUGUGAUAGAUGAGCAAUAAUGCUGAUGCCGUUUGCCUAUUGAUCACCAGAGCUCCUUGUUUUUUGAACUUUUGAGAAAGUUAAUCUAAUUUUAAAAAUUACUUAAAAAUUACAGAUACAAAGAACUGGGAGGUGUGAUGGUUUAUGUAAAAUAUAAUUACAAACUCAGCUGACAUAACCAUUCUCCACAUUAAGAAAGAGAAUACCUUUAAAUAUCAAACUUACAUAGUAUAUUUAAAAUGUAAAAUAAAUUUAGUAUGCUUUUAAAAUGGAUAGAAAUUUGGUUUUUAUGUUCUUGAGAGUUACUCCCAUAGCAGCAAUUUAAAGGGGAUACAAGUAAUGAAUUGCCCUCUACUUUGAAUAUUUUAAUCACAUUUGUUGUUUGUUAUACCAUGAACCCAAUAAUUGAAUGAGGAAUAAUUUCACUUACACAUGUUUGUAUAAUGACAAUUAGUAGUGAAUGACGAUAUCAGCAAGUCAUAAUUUGUCUUUCAUUUUUACAGAUAUAUAAACUCUCUUCACAAGAAGAAAGUAUUGGGACAUUAUUGGAUGCUAUCAUUUGUAGAAUGUCAACAAAAGAUGUUUUAUGAAAUGUCAGAAAUAUUAACAAAAAUUCUCAGCAUUAAAGAAAACAUUGAUUUUCCUUUCCUGACUAUAAAACUAAUUGUGCAUUAUAGAAAAGUUUAAAUCACAGAAUGGUAUU